GGGCCCCGCACAAGCAGCGGAGCGUGUGGUUUAAUUCGAUGCUACACGAAGAACCUUACCAGGGUUUGACAUACAAGUAGUAGGGAAAGGAAACUGGACCGACCCUUCGGGGAGCUUGUACAGGUGCUGCAUGGCUGUCGUCAGCUCGUGUCGUGAGAUGUUCGGUUAAGUCCGCUAACGAGCGCAACCCUCGCUGUGUGUUACAAGUGUCACACGGAACUGCCGGUCAUAAACCGGAGGAAGGUGGGAUGACGUCAAGUCAGCAUGGCCUUUAUAUCCUGGGCUACACACACGCUACAAUGGGAAGGGACAAUAGGUUGCGAAGCCGCGAGGUGGAGCCAAUCCAUAAAGUUGGUCUCAGUUCAGAUUGUAGGCUGCAACCCGCCUGCAUGAAGAUGGAGUUGCUAGUAACCGCAGGUCAGCUAUACUGCGGUGAAUACGUUCCCGGGGCUU
rnacentral:rRNA from 1 species